UCAAGUAGAUGCAUGGUAGAAGCUAAUGAAACGAGAUACAAGUUAGAGAAACUACUACUUACAUAGUCUAUAUGUAAUCAAAAACAGAAAGUUGACAUGAUGCAGAGGCCUUCGGGCAUGGGGACAACUUCGUUUCUAUUUCAGGUGGUUCUCUUUUGCUCCAAAUUGUCAUGGUUUGUAAAUAUUUUGCAUUUUUUAAAAUAUAUUUUGCCACCGUAUACUCUCUCCGCAGGCCUGAGCAAUCUCGAAUAGUGCAAGUUCUAAGGUAUGAUGAAAGGCAUUGUGGAACAAAUUCUGGUUCCACCCAAUUUUCUUGAUCAUCUUGUUGAUUCGAUAUCGACAGGUAUAACUCCUAUUUAUAGUACACAAAAAUUAAAACAAAACAUAAAGGCAACUUAAGAAAAGGUAAAUUGAAUAUUAUUCUAAAAGUUGACAAACCUGAUAAAGUUGGAGAUUUUGAAGCUUAGGGCAGUGGUGGAGCACUUGUACUACCAAAUCCCAAUUAUUGUAGAGCUCCAAGUGGGUCAAAUUAUGAAACAUGGGAAUGUCAACACAAGGGCGCUGCAGCUUAUUUGCCUAAAUUAUGUACAAAGACACACUAUCAAAUCAGG
rnacentral:lncRNA from 1 species